rnacentral:misc_RNA from 1 species
AAGUCGUAACAAGGUAACCGUAGGUGAACCUGCGGUUGGAUCAUUAUUGAUUUCAUUAUCUUUAAUUUCAUUGAGGGCUUACUCUAAGACUUUGUAGAUCAGUAGUCCGAGCCUGGAAAUUUUUGAAGGGUUUGGAUGAAAUACUAGUUUGUAAGUUCUCUUUGAUUUAACAAUUUGUGCACUGUAAUGUAAAGUUCGUUGGUGGUUUUAGUACUACCUUCGUCCAUUUUAUUUAACCUUUUAAUCCAAUUUGUAGUAACCUAUUUUUUCUAAGAAAAAAGAUUAAACAACUUUUGACAACGGAUCUCUAGGCUCUC